UAAUUAAUUUACCACUAUUCCUCUUUUUCCCUUAAAUUCCCAAGAGAUCACUUGUUAAAUUUCUAUAUAAUUUUUCUUAUUUGAAAGGAUACCCAUCUUAUAGUUAUCUUUUAAUUUAAUUAGUUUCCUCUUUAUUACAAUUUAAUAUUGAACUUUCCUUUUCAAAUGCAGUCAUAAGGUGUCCAUUUUCUAGUAGCAGUAGGCCUGAUUUCUACCUUCAGGUGAGAGCUACUGUUACUCUUUAUCUGCUUCUAGUACUCUACUACUGCGAUCUUAUAUUUGUUCCUUUUUUCUAUACAUUGCUCUUAAAAGAGCCACAAUUAUUUUUUAGAGGAGCUGUAAUUAUUAUUUGUUAGUAUUACUGAAGAAGGAGAUCAAUACUAUUAUACUACUUUUACCUACAAAAAAUCGAAGUUUAACUCAAAAGCUUUUCCCAGAACACCAUCUAAAAUAAUUUUUCUUAUUAUGAAAUGAGAGUUAAUAAUUGACUUAUUACCCAAUCAUCAUAAACUUUACAUGAUAGUAUAUAAUAUACCCAAAAGCAUUAUUCAUCAAAAUAUAUAUAUAUAUGUAUGUAUAUCAUUGUUUUUCUCUGAAAUGUGGUUUUAACAAGGUGGAGCCCUGAUUGUCUGUAAGCUGUUAAUUUACUGAAUGAAUCUAGUCUUGCUUCCUUUGAGUUUAGUUUAAUUAUUGCAGAUAUUUGCCAGUUUAUUUCUUUAUCUGAGUUCCUUAAUUUUGUUUUAUAAUAAUGUUGCGUUCUCUUUAAAUAGAUUUGGGUUUAGUUUAGAUUAUAAAUAAGUGUGGCUUAAGGACAACUUUUCUUCCAUAGAUUUAGCACAUUUUAUUGACUGAUUUGCCAUAAUUUGUAAUGUGGACUGGAAGAGCAUCCCGAC
rnacentral:lncRNA from 1 species